AAGUGUUACAACUCUUUUAGAAUUUGUCUAGCAGGUUUUCUGACUUCGGUCGGAUACUCCUCC
rfam:Rattus norvegicus chromosome 5, whole genome shotgun sequence.